GAUGAACGCUGGCGGCGUGCCUAAUACAUGCAAGUAGAACGCUUAAGCUUGGUGCUUGCACCGAGCGGCUGAGUUGCGAACGGGUGAGUAACGCGUAGGUAACCUGCCUCUUAGCGGGGGAUAACUAUUGGAAACGAUAGCUAAUACCGCAUAAAAGUCGAUAUCGCAUGAUAUUGAUUUGAAAGGUGCAAAUGCCUCACUAAGAGAUGGACCUGCGUUGUAUUAGCUAGUUGGUGAGGUAACGGCUCACCAAGGGGACGAUACAUAGCCGAACUGAGAGGGUGAUCCGCCACACUGGGAAUGAGACACGGCCCAGACUCCUACGGGAGGCAGCAGUAGGGAAUCUUCGGCAAUGGGGGCAACCCUGAACGAGCAACGCCGCGUGAGUGAAGAAGGUUCUCGGAUCGUAAAGCUCGGUUGUAAGAGAAGAACGAGUGUGAGAGUGGAAAGUUCACACUGUGACGGUAACUGAACAGAAAGGGACGGCUAACUACGUG
rnacentral:rRNA from 1 species